rnacentral:rRNA from 1 species
UACGAAGGGGGCUAGCGUUGUUCGGAAUUACUGGGCGUAAAGCGCGCGCAGGCGGCUAUCCAAGUCAGUGGUGAAAGCCCGGAGCUCAACUCCGGAACUGCCAUUGAAACUGUUUAGCUUGAGGACGAGAGAGGUGAGUGGAAUUCCCAGUGUAGAGGUGAAAUUCGUAGAUAUUGGGAAGAACACCGGUGGCGAAGGCGGCCUGCUGGGAUCUUGCUGACGCUGAGGCGCGACAGCGUGGGGGAGCAAACAGG